UACGUAGGGUGCAAGCGUUGUCCGGAAUUAUUGGGCGUAAAGAGCUCGUAGGCGGCUUGUCGCGUCGAAUGUGAAAACUCGGGGCUCAACUCCGAGCUUGCAUUCGAUACGGGGCAGGCUAGAGUUCGGUAGGGGGAGACUGGAAAUUCCUGGUGUAGCGGUGAAAAUGCGCAGAUAUCAGGAGGAACACCGGUGGCGAAGGCGGGUCUCUGGGGCCGAUACUGACUGAGGGAGCGAAAAAGCCGUGGGGGGGAGCGAAACGGGAUUAGAAAACCCCC
rnacentral:rRNA from 1 species